rnacentral:rRNA from 1 species
UACGUAGGGGGCAAGCGUUGUCCGGAUUUAUUGGGCGUAAAGAGCGUGUAGGCGGUUCGGUAGGUCCGUUGUGAAAACUCGAGCUCAACCUCGAGACGCCGAUGGAAACCCCCGAACUAGAGUCCGGAAGAGGAGAAUGGAAUUCCUGGUGUAGCGGUGAAAUGCGCAGAUAUCAGGAAGAACACCCGUGGCUAAGGCGGUUCUCUAGUACGGUACUGACGCUGAGACGCGAAAGCGUGGGGAGCGAACAGGAUUAGAUACC